UGGGCGCCCGAGGGGAGCUUGGGGUGAGCUCCCCUCUUCUCCCAUGUCCCCGCCGGCGAUCCAUCCGGCGCGGCGCGGCGCGGCGCGGCCGGAGACUGUAGGCGCAGCCGCGGCGGUUCUUUCUCGAAUCGGCGCUUCCUCUCCUCGAAUCAGGUGGUCAAGGACGUGGCGGCGCGGUCGCUGGAGGUUGAAGAAGCUCGAUCGCCUUCUCCAGUACGCCGAGAGGCGCCAAAACGAAGUUCUCAUUUCUUUCAACAUAUUCCACAAGGAUUCAUCAGCCUUAUGGCAAACCUGGCUGGUAUCCGAUUAUAUGCCAUCGCUCCGCUUGUGUUGGUGGCUGUGAAGAAAUUGCCGUAUAUUAGCAAAUGUACUGACUGUGGAUACUUUCUUCUGUGACAAUUCCUACGGAGUAGUGGGGGUGAAGCGACGGUGUCAGGAGGCCACUGAACCAAGAGUUUAUUUAUAGCUGAAGAGAAGUAGGAUCCUGUCAAGUGCCUUCCAUGACUGGGCGAGGGGACAAUACCAUGAGUUCAGAACAUGCAAUUUGCAAGCAGAUCAAAGGCAACGUGAUGGGGAUCAGAUAUUGAUAUGGCGCCAAUUGUUUGGUCCAUGCUGGGUGCAUCACAAGGCACUACCAGUGCCACAUUGGUGGAUUAGUAGCAUGAGGAUCCCAUGCAAACUGGGUUCAACAUGUGAGGACCAGUUCUGUUGCUAUCGUGCAAUGAGAUGUUGGCAGACACACCUUCUGAUUGCCACUGGGAAAGCUAGCCAGAAUGGUUCAGACGUUCGGUGUUCAAUGGUCUUAUUUUAGCAGGUAUAAACUACAACAAGCAGAAGACAACAUUAGGGGCACGCAUGUUUUUCAGCGGUUACGAACAGCAAUUUUUCUGGCUGUCUCCAACAGUUGGCAUCACAGAAACAGUGUAGUGGCAAGAUAUCACCAUAGAACUCAGCAAUGCCUUCUCGACCUCAGCAGAGGCAUCUCUGCUGAGCAAGCACAUGACAUACUCCAUCACUGCGGCAUCACAAGGCAGUGUGAUCUUUCCAUUGCUUGCGAAACCAAACUCUUCCUGGGACACUCUUAGGAGCUCUCCGAAGACCAUCAUGCUGAGGUACACCAACGGGACCUCGAAACGGCUUCCGUCGGCCGUGUACAUGAUGCAGUGGCCCUUUACCACUCCAGAGGUGCAGCAUUCUUCAUCUUCUUUGGCUGUCACUCUCCAGAGAAAGUGAGCUAUGGGUGUUGUAGUGCUCAGUUGGUGGUGGAUGAGCUGAUGAAGUGAUGGUAUUGAGCUUAGCCGCUCCCUGAAUUUAUAGGCAAGGUGAAGGGCAUUGUGCUGGUGAAGAGUAGUUGUCACUGUGAAGAGUUGGCCAGGGACAAGGCCAUGUGAUCAGUGCAUGCAGUGUUGCAGCAUGAUCACUUUGGAGUAGAUUGUGAUGGGGCCAAAUGUUUGGGGCAUGCUGGAGCCAAUAGUGGUAGCAAUAGCAUCAUGGCAUGAUCUAUUCUGCGAUGCAGAUAUCGAUGGAUUCAGUUGAGAUAUCAUCAGUUUCGCACAUCAUGCUAUUAUUUUGGAGCUCCAAAUUGACACUUGACCAGCUGAAAGAAAAAGAAAGUGUGUCAGACUAAUGACCAGGAACUUGUUCAUGGUCUUACCAGUUGCCGCUGAACCUUCAGUCUCAGAUGUGUUGUUGAUCAGUCGGAUGGUGUGCAUGCCUGAAUUAACUUGCUCGACAGAUGUUGCUGUUUGUUCACUUCGUGAUCUGCUCCAUGCAUGUCUGGUCUCCAGUCCAGCAUCUCAUGUGGUUUUCAUUUCAUUGUUGCUUCCACCAUUUGGAGUCUAAGUUAGAAAGGAAAGAACUCUAUUUCACAAGG